UACCUCACUUCUUGCCGGAGACAAUCGUCUCCUCCCCUGUUUCACGCUCCGCACACUCCCAUCCUCCUGAGGCACCUCACUUCCUGCCGUCUCCGAUUUCUCCUCAUGUAAUUGCUCUAGAACUUCCUGUCCUUUAGUAAGUGCUUCCUGACAUCUGCCAUCUGUAAGGCAACUACGGACCAUUUUCCAAAGGGGUAUCACCCCACCCUCUAAUAUGCCCUGCUCAGAAGCAAAGUCAAGAUCUUUGCCUAAUUUAUCCCAACUAGGUACAGUAAGGCUGCCCGAAAAUGCAAACCACGGUGCAGCGAUAUCUAUCUUCUGUAAAAAUCUCUGUAAAGUACUAUGUUUCACUUCCAGGCCCUUGGAACGUAACAGGCCAUCUAGGGCCAGGAGAAGCGGACUUGAAGAUGCGGCACCCAUGACACAACAACAAAAGAAGCACAAAAAACAAAAGCGAAAUGACACAACAAAAGAAACACAGAAAACAAAAGCGAAAGUAGAAGCGAAAGUACACAGUGCAGCUGCAAUAAAAUGUAAUGCUCUCUCUUUCUUUACAGAGGAGCUGCCCCGCUUUGGUCGCGGAUCCCACUUAUUGGGACUAACCCCGCUUUGGUCGUGGAUCCCACUUACCUGGGACUAACCGGUGCACCACCCCUGACUGCUGAAAGUUCUGGUUCCCGGGUUUCGGCACCACUUGUUGUGACCCCUUGCCCGCAAGGAAGACGCAACUCAGGAAUCUUCUUUCAGCAGUUUAUUCAGGCCCUUGAUAUUUCUUCUUCUCCCUCUCGGAUGCCCCUCCCAGCCUUAAUAAAGCAUCUCAAGCCCCAAUGCGAAGCUGCCACGUGGAGCUUUCUCAUAGGGUGGUGAAAAACCAUGCGCCAACUCUCCCAAAUAAGGAGUUGUUUGUCACAGACCACAGCGGAGCCAGCGCCAUCUUGUAAUGGCGACCAUAGUCUGCAGAAACGGCAGAAGCGGCUCACCACAAUUAUAAACUUAUAAGGAUAAUGGAUUUUAUUGGGGAUUUAUUUAUAUUAUUUGAUGUUUUGUAACCAAACCUUAUAUUACCGUUUACAUUGAGAUAUAAAAAUUUAAAGGUAUUUGUUGGAGGCCUCGACCAAGUCAAGAUGGCCUCUGGCAGUUUGCCAGGAGGAGUGGCUUGUGAGGCAAUGCCACCGAGCCAUCAAGAUGGUGAGGACUCCUUAUUGGCUGAUUACUGUAUCUGUAGGGGAGCAAUGCUAUGAUUGGAUGAUGCUGAUUGAGCCAUGCUUUAUGUAAAUC
rnacentral:lncRNA from 1 species